rnacentral:rRNA from 1 species
UACGUAGGCAGCAAACGUUGUUCGGAAUUACUGGGCGUAAAGGGUGCGUAGGCGGCGCGGUAAGUCGGGUGUGAAAUCUUGGAGCUUAACUCCGAAACUGCAUUCGAUACUGCCGUGCUUGAGGACUGGAGAGGAGACUGGAAUUUACGGUGUAGCGGUGAAAUGCGUAGAUAUCGUAAGGAAGACCAGUGGCGAAGGCGGGUCUCUGGACAGUUCCUGACGCUGAGGCACGAAGGUCAGGGGAGCAAACGGG